ACACAAAAUACCUGAACGGCAUGCUAUAGUCUUCAGUGUUACCGGAGCACAUACAUAUUUAUGGACAUCCGGAAGGAACAGAUUGUGGCAAGUUUUACGUAACCACGUUAACUGCGACGUCUCUUUCAGGCAUUUGAUAUAAAUGGAGACAAGCAUCCAGGGGAAUUAUUAAGCCCUGGGACACCACAACUCAACAAACUUUAUUUUGACAAUCAUGCAUAGCGGUACGAGUGUUCGAUUAGUUUUUCUUGUACUGGUUUUGGCGGUGAUUGGAGAAGCCUACAAUACCAGGAGAGGUCACUCCAUUCAGAAGCGUUCCGCGAUAUGUACGGACGAGAAUGGGCAUAUGUGGUUUGAAAACGAGUGCUUUUGUGUGGACUCUGAGCACGAAUGUUGUUGUGGAUCAGGAAAAAUACACUGCAGUGAGAGCAGGUCAUGUAUUUGAGACGGCACCAUUGAGACAUUCAAAUUAGACUGGAUAGUGAAACUAGCCUUUUAGUCAAAUAAACAAGUUUCUAUAGCG
rnacentral:misc_RNA from 1 species